rnacentral:snoRNA from 1 species
AACCCAUGAUGAGGGCACCGUUUCAAUAAGUCCUUAUACCUCUCCCAUGCAUCAUAUAACGUCUCUAAAUCUAUCUGAACAAAGGAAGAUAUAUCAUUCAUCAACUU